UUUAGCUCAGCGGUCAGAGCACUUGCCUUAUAAGCAAGCGGUCACAGGUUCGAUUCCUGUAAGGC
rnacentral:tRNA from 1 species